rnacentral:rRNA from 1 species
UACAGAGGUCCCAAGCGUUGUUCGGAUUCACUGGGCGUAAAGGGUGCGUAGGUGGCGUGGUAAGUUUGAUGUGAAAGCUCAGGGCUUAACCCUGAAAUGGCAUUGAAUACUACCAUGCUGGAGGUUUGGAGGGGGGACUGGAAUUCUCGGUGUAGCAGUGAAAUGCGUAGAUAUCGAGAGGAACACCAGUGGCGAAGGCGAGUCCCUGGACAACACCUGACACUAAGGCACGAAAGCUAGGGGAGCAAACAGG